UGGUGGGUUGCCUUGUCAGGUUGAUUCCGGUAACGAACGAGACCUCAGCCUGCUAAAUAGUCACUUGUGCUUUUUGCACAUGGCAGACUUCUUAGAGGGACUAUUGGCGUAUAGUCAAUGGAAGUAUGAGGCAAUAACA
rnacentral:rRNA from 1 species